AUAAUUUGCCUAGGCAGGACGUAUAACUCGAGCAGUGAAGAUUUCAAAACUAAAAAUGCGCCUCGAAAUGGCAGAAAAGUAAGAAGUCUAGUGAUUUAAAAAUGGUAAAUGUUUAUUUUUGCGAUAAGUUAGUGCAGUACUAUUGUGAAGGUAAUGAAAGUUUCAUGGUCAUUAUAAAAAAAUAAAGUAUUUUUUACCUUUAAAAA